rnacentral:misc_RNA from 1 species
AGAUGAAGAACGUAGCGAAAUGCGAUAAGUAAUGUGAAUUGCAGAAUUCAGUGAAUCAUCGAAUCUUUGAACGCACCUUGCACUCCUUAGUAUUCUGAGGAGUAUGCCUGUUUGAGUGUCAUGAAAUUCUCAAUCCUUUAAAAUUUAUUAUAUAAAUUUAAAAGGCUUGGACUUGGAGGCUUGUGCUGGCUUUUUAAUAAAGUUACCAGCUCCUCUUAAAUAUAUUAGCGCAAAACUUUUAUGAAUCGCUCUUUGGUGUGAUAAUUAUCUACGCCAUUGAUGUGUGAAGUAUUAAUAUAUGUUUGUGCUUCUAAUAGUCCUUUAUAAUAGGGACAAUUAUACUUGACAUCUGGCCUCAAAUCAGGUAGGACUACCCGCUGAACUUAAGCAUAUCAAUAAGCGGAGGA